AGGUCGCGUCGGCGGGUUCGUCCGUCUUCGCGCCCUUCCAGAGGGCGAAGUCCUGCGGGUUCCGCUUGCCCCGGGGGUCCGCAUCCUCUGCGGCCUCC
rnacentral:tRNA from 1 species